rnacentral:rRNA from 2 species
AGGAUGAACGCUGGCGGCGUGCUUAACACAUGCAAGUCGAACGAACCUUCGGGUUAGUGGCGGACGGGUGAGUAACGCGUGGGAAUCUGCCCUCAGGAGGGGGAUAACGGCUGGAAACGGCCGCUAAUACCCCAUAUGCCGAGAGGUGAAAUGAAUUUCGCCUGAGGAUGAGCCCGCGUCUGAUUAGCUAGUUGGUGAGGUAAGAGCUCACCAAGGCAUCGAUCAGUAGCUGGUCUGAGAGGAUGAUCAGCCACACUGGGACUGAGACACGGCCCAGACUCCUACGGGAGGCAGCAGUGGGGAAUUUUCCGCAAUGGGCGAAAGCCUGACGGAGCAACGCCGCGUGAGGGAUGAAGGCCUCUGGGCUGUAAACCUCUUUUCUCAAGGAAGAAGAUCUGACGGUACUUGAGGAAUAAGCCACGGCUAAUUCCGUGCCAGCAGCCGCGGUAAUACGGGAGUGGCAAGCGUUAUCCGGAAUUAUUGGGCGUAAAGCGUCCGCAGGCGGCCUUUCAAGUCUGCUGUUAAAACGUGGAGCUUAACUCCAUCAUGGCAGUGGAAACUGUUGGGCUUGAGUGUGGUAGGGGCAGAGGGAAUUCCCGGUGUAGCGGUGAAAUGCGUAGAUAUCGGGAAGAACACCAGUGGCGAAGGCGCUCUGCUGGGCCAUAACUGACGCUCAUGGACGAAAGCCAGGGGAGCGAAAGGGAUUAGAUACCCCUGUAGUCCUGGCCGUAAACGAUGAACACUAGGUGUCGGGGGAAUCGACCCCCUCGGUGUCGUAGCCAACGCGUUAAGUGUUCCGCCUGGGGAGUACGCACGCAAGUGUGAAACUCAAAGGAAUUGACGGGGGCCCGCACAAGCGGUGGAGUAUGUGGUUUAAUUCGAUGCAACGCGAAGAACCUUACCAGGGUUUGACAUCCUGCGAAUCUCUUGGAAACGAGAGAGUGCCCUCGGGAACGCAGUGACAGGUGGUGCAUGGCUGUCGUCAGCUCGUGUCGUGAGAUGUUGGGUUAAGUCCCGCAACGAGCGCAACCCACGUCUUUAGUUGCCAGCAUUUAGUUGGGCACUCUAGAGAGACCGCCGGUGAUAAACCGGAGGAAGGUGUGGAUGACGUCAAGUCAUCAUGCCCCUUACAUCCUGGGCUACACACGUACUACAAUGCUACGGACAAAGAGCAGCAAGUUCGCGAGGACAAGCAAAUCUCAUAAACCGUGGCUCAGUUCAGAUCGUAGGCUGCAACUCGCCUACGUGAAGGAGGAAUCGCUAGUAAUCGCAGGUCAGCAUACUGCGGUGAAUACGUUCCCGGGCCUUGUACACACCGCCCGUCACACCAUGGAAGUUGGCCACGCCCGAAGCCGUUACUCCAACCCUUGUGGAGGAGGACGUCGAAGGUGGGGCUGAUGACUGGGGUGAAGUCGUAACAAGGUAGCCGUACCGGAAGG